UGAGGAACAUGACCUUCGGCGGGGGAUAGCCGGCCCAACGGCCGGGUAAUACCGCGUACGACCAUUUGGGGACAUCCCCGAGUGGUGAAAGCAGCAAUGCGCCGAUGGAGUGCCUCGCGGCCUAUCAGCUAGUUGGUGAGGUAACGGCUCACCAAGGCAACGACGGGUAGCUGGUCUGAGAGGAUGGCCAGCCACAUUGGGACUGAGACACGGCCCAGACCUCCGUACGGGAGCAG
rnacentral:rRNA from 1 species